CAAGAACAUAAGAAAUAAUAUCAGUACUCAAGUGAUUUGUAUCAGUGAAGAUCAGACAGACAAAAAGAGAACAGAGAACAUACCAACGAUGAAUCAUCUGUUUUUAUUAUCAGUCAUUCAGACACUUCAGUGAUGGAUGGAUGAAUAGAUAGAGCCCAGAGCUAUGAGCCAACUUGGCAGCUGGCAGAAAUUCCAGAUUGUCUUUUUUACAUGGUUGCCUGGCUUGGAGUAAAGGACAUGCAGUACAGCAUCCGUAGCAGAAGCUGAAAAUGGAUGACUCCUACUGAUGCUUUUUGACACCUUCAGCUCCUCUUUUCCCAAUUGAGAUGGGUGAAAUGAAUAUCAGGAAAAAAUUCUAAAAUAAG
rnacentral:lncRNA from 1 species